GUAAAUUUGACAAUGCAGACGGUGUCGCACAAGAAGCGGGCAAUUUAAACGUUGUCGGAGAAACGACCGCCGGUAUAAAGUACUGCAGCGAUGCUGUCGCCGACGCCGCUCGCGUUGUCGCCGCAGACGACGCCGCUGCGGCGCUAGGCGCUGCUCCAGCUACUAGAACUUUGGAAUCCUUACCAGUGACGUGUAUUGAUUAUUGGUGAUUGCGGCCCCGGAAUACACGUCUGCCGGUGGAAGAAAUACACGUGUAUAAAUUACAGCAAUUAUGAAACGUAAUUACUACUUUAUUAAUGAGUUACCUAUGGCGCUGUCAAUCGAGGCAGGGCACUUUCAAGCGCUGCCACGUGUUUGAUAAUCACUACCCGUUUCGAAAAAAGCAGUUGUGAUAUGGUAAAUCAACAUUACGGUACCCGUGAUAUAAAUUUUAAAACGCUUCGAAGUUUAUUUUGAUGUAAUGAUUUUUGGGGUCUCCAAUAUAAGGACAAAGAGUGAAUUUUACUGUGUUUCAUUUAUAGUGUCCUAUACUAGCUA